AGUGAACGCUGGCGGUAGGCCUAACACAUGCAAGUCGAACGGCAGCACAGUAAGAGCUUGCUCCUACGGGUGGCGAGUGGCGGACGGGUGAGGAAUACAUCGGAAUCUACUUUUUCGUGGGGGAUAACGUAGGGAAACUUACGCUAAUACCGCAUACGACCUACGGGUGAAAGCAGGGGAUCUUCGGACCUUGCGCGAUUGAAUGAGCCGAUGUCGGAUUAGCUAGUUGGCGGGGUAAAGGCCCACCAAGGCGACGAUCCGUAGCUGGUCUGAGAGGAUGAUCAGCCACACUGGAACUGAGACACGGUCCAGACUCCUACGGGAGGCAGCAGUGGGGAAUAUUGGACAAUGGGCGCAAGCCUGAUCCAGCCAUACCGCGUGGGUGAAGAAGGCCUUCGGGUUGUAAAGCCCUUUUGUUGGGAAAGAAAAGCAGCAGGUUAAUACCCCGCUGUUCUGACGGUACCCAAAGAAUAAGCACCGGCUAACUUCGU
rnacentral:rRNA from 1 species